rnacentral:misc_RNA from 1 species
GAUGAAGAACGUAGCGAAUCGCGAUAAGUAAUGUGAAUUGCAGAUUUUCCGUGAAUCAUCGAAUCUUUGAACGCACCUUGCGCCCUUUGGCCAUUCCGAAGGGCAUGCCUGUUUGAGUAUCAUGAACACCUCAACUCUUCAUGGUUUUCCAUGAUGAGCUUGGACUUUGGGGGUCUUGCUGGCCUGUGGGUCGGCUCCUCUCAAAUGAAUCAGCUUGCCGGUUUUUGGUGGGCAUCACAGGUGUGAUAACUAUCUACGCUUGUGGUUUUCCACCAGGGUAACCUUCAGCAGUGGAGGUUCACUGGAGCUUACAAAUGUCUCUCCUCUGUGAGGACAGCCCUUUGAAUGUUUGAUCUCAAAUCAGGUAGGACUACCCGCUGAACUUAAGCAUAUCAAUAAGCGGAGGA